CAGUUCGGCAGAGAAGAGCUGAUCCGUCUCGAUGGCCAGCUCGGAAUAGUCAUAUGGCAGCCCACUAGGUUGACCGAGCUGAGAAUGAAUGGGCCUGGUGGGUCGCGCCGCCCGAACUUAUCGGAACUAGUUAGCGGAGCCCUAGAAGGAGUCCCGCUAUGGAAGACUCCUUGUCCUGCUAGGAAACUACUACCUCCGACUCUAUAAAUACAACGCAUUGCGAAGAUGUUAGGUACGCUAUUUCUUUUGAACACAUACUCACUUCGAUUCCAAGCUUUUAUUGACUUGAUCGUCGGAGUUGCUCCGGGGGACCAACCCCGCCGCAUCUUUGCUUACAGGUCGGCACGGCCACCCU
rnacentral:lncRNA from 1 species